CCCUGUCUUCGUGAAGUAGGAAGCGCUCACACACUCAGCGCUGGGAAUUAAAAGUACGCCAUAAAUAUGGCGCCAAAAGAGUUCACAGGCUGAUGAUAGAUCUAGUGAGGAAGCAGGACUGGUAGAUGUAGUGAGGAAGCAGGACCGGUAGAUCGAGUGAGGAAGCGGGACUGGUCUGGGGGUGUUCGUGCAGAUAGCGGUGUUCAGGUCGGGCUCAGGAGCGACAGACCCAGCAACUAAAACAAGGCGCUGUGUUUUUUCGGAGGACCGUUGCGAAACUGGCUCGCAAUCUUUUUCUGAGUCAUCUCCCUGAAAGCAUCUCUUCUUCUUCACCCUUCAUCGGCACUGGGAGGAAACCAGUCGGGGCGCAGAGACCAGACCUGUCGGGUUCACACCAUAUUUGGACUGUUAUGGAAAUGCGACACGAUUUCUGAACAUCUUGCGCGCACCUCGCAACCUGCGAAAUCGUAACGGACUACCGCCGCUUACCAGAGAAAAUACCUUCUGGCCGUCUCUACUUUUCCCUAACCUCUGGAUCAGGACUCUCCACGUCUCCGCAGAUCGAUGUGACGUGCUGUCACGGCGGACAGAGGGACGGUCCUGUCACCGCCGGGGAGUCAGGAGGGCUUCCACCGCCUAGCAGCGCUAGCAGGCGGGCACCGUGCAUGUCAGGGUCCUGCUCUAAACUACAUGUGGCCGGCUUCAAAUGAGCUCCUAAACCCCCCGGACCCGCCCGCCGUCCACAGCCGAGGACGCUUCCCCGCUCCGCGCCGACUGAACGGGGUCACACAUACAUGAAGAUGGAGAGCGAAAGGAAGAAGAGGAAAUACUCGACCAGCAGUAAUGACUCUGACACCACUGACAGUCAGGUGAUGUCUUGGUCCAGUUCAUCCAAGAACACGGGCACCAACAGCACCUGGGUCCGCCUCCAGCACAAGAAGCCAUCAGAGUGAGAGGACUCAAGGCACCGAGCUGCUCCCUG
ensembl:lncRNA